rnacentral:rRNA from 1 species
CACUGUCACUCCUACGGGAGGCAGCAUGGGGGAAUAUUGCACAAUGGGCGCAAGCCUGAUGCAGCCAUGCCGCGUGUGUGAAGAAGGCCUUCGGGUUGUAAAGCACUUUCAGUCGUGAGGAAGGUGGUAGUGUUAAUAGCACUAUCAUUUGACGUUAGCGACAGAAGAAGCACCGGCUAACUCCGUGCCAGCAGCCGCGGUAAUACGGAGGGUGCGAGCGUUAAUCGGAAUUACUGGGCGUAAAGCGCAUGCAGGUGGUUUGUUAAGUCAGAUGUGAAAGCCCCGGGGCUCAACCUCGGAAUUGCAUUUGAAACUGGCAAACUAGAGUACUGUAGAGGGGGUAGAAUUUCAGGUGUAGCGGUGAAAUGCGUAGAGAUCUGAAGGAAUACCGGUGGCGAAGGCGGCCCCCUGGACAGAUACUGACACUCAGAUGCGAAAGCGUGGGGAGCAAACAGGAUUAGAUACCCUGGUAG